GACGAACGCUGGCGGCGUGCUUAACACAUGCAAGUCGAACGGAAAGGCCUCUUUCGGGGGGUACUCGAGUGGCGAACGGGUGAGUAACACGUGAGUAACCUGCCCUUGACUUUGGGAUAACUUCAGGAAACUGGGGCUAAUACCGGAUAGGAGCUCCUGCUGCAUGGUGGGGGUUGGAAAGUUUCGGCGGUUGGGGAUGGACUCGCGGCUUAUCAGCUUGUUGGUGGGGUAGUGGCUUACCAAGGCUUUGACGGGUAGCCGGCCUGAGAGGGUGACCGGCCACAUUGGGACUGAGAUACGGCCCAGACUCCGACGGGAGGCAGCAGUGGGGAAUAUUGCACAAGGGGUGGAAGCCGGAUGCAGCAACGCCGUGGGCGGGAUGACGGCCUUCGGGUUGUAAACCGCUUUCGCUCAUGACGAAGCUUUGUGUGACGGUAGUGGGUAAAGAAGCACCGGCUAACUACGUG
rnacentral:rRNA from 1 species